rnacentral:rRNA from 1 species
AGCGCAGGUGGGAAAGUAAGUCUGCUUUAAAAGUGCGGGGCUCAACCCCGUGAGGGAGUGGAAACUAUUUUUCUUGAGUGCAGGAGAGGAAAGCGGAAUUCCUAGUGUAGCGGUGAAAUGCGUAGAUAUUAGGAGGAACACCGAUGGCGAAGGCAGGUUACUGGGCAGUUACUGACGCUGAGGAGCGAAAGCAUGGGUAGCGAACA